rnacentral:rRNA from 1 species
AAACUGAACUCUUCGGAGUGACGUUUAGUGGAUCGAGCGGCGGAUGGGUGAGUAACACGUGGGCAACCUGCCUAUAAGACUGGGAUAACUUACGGAAACGUGAGCUAAUACCGGAUGAAACCUUUUGUUACCUGACAAGAGGGUGAAAGAUGGCUCCGGCUAUCACUUAUAGAUGGGCCCGCGGCGCAUUAGCUAGUUGGUGAGAUAAAAGCUCACCAAGGCAACGAUGCGUAGCCGACCUGAGAGGGUGAUCGGCCACACUGGGACUGAGACACGGCCCAGACUCCUACGGGAGGCAGCAGUAGGGAAUCUUCCGCAAUGGACGAAAGUCUGACGGAGCAACGCCGCGUGAACGAAGAAGGUUCUCGGAUCGUAAAGUUCUGUUGUUAGGGAAGAACACGUACCAUUCGAAUAGGGUGGUACCUUGACGGUACCUAACGAGAAAGCCCCGGCUAACUACGUGCCAGCAGCCGCGGUAAUACGUAGGGGGCAAGCGUUGUCCGGAAUUAUUGGGCGUAAAGCGCGCGCAGGCGGUUCUUUAAGUCUGAUGUGAAAUCUUGCGGCUCAACCGCAAGCGGUCAUUGGAAACUGGAGAACUUGAGGACAGAAGACGAGAGUGGAAUUCCACGUGUAGCGGUGAAAUGCGUACAUAUGUGGAGGAACACCAGUGGCGAAGGCGACUCUCUGGUCUGUAACUGACGCUGACGUGCGAAAGCGUGUGUAGCGAA